UACGUAGGGUGCGAGCGUUGUCCGGAAUUACUGGGCGUAAAGAGCUCGUAGGUGGUUUGUCGCGUUGUUCGUGAAAACUCACAGCUUAACUGUGGGCGUGCGGGCGAUACGGGCAGACUGGAGUACUGCAGGGGAGACUGGAAUUCCUGGUGUAGCGGUGGAAUGCGCAGAUAUCAGGAGGAACACCGGUGGCGAAGGCGGGUCUCUGGGCAGUAACUGACGCUGAGGAGCGAAAGCGUGGGGAGUGAACAGG
rnacentral:rRNA from 1 species